rnacentral:tRNA from 1 species
GCUCCUGUAGCACAGUUGGUAGUGCAACUGAUUCGUAAUCAGUAGGUCGCAGGUUCGAUUCCUGUCGGGAGCA